rfam:Triticum aestivum genome assembly, contig: Triticum_aestivum_CS42_TGACv1_scaffold_526726_6DL
GUUAUACUCCCGUCCCAAAAUUCUUGUCUUAAAUUUGUCUAGAUACGGAUGUAUCUAAUACUAGAACGUGACUUGAUACAUCCGUAUCUAGACAAAUCUAAGACAAGAAUUUUGGGACGGAGGGAGUACCAU